UUGGAUCAGCAGGAAUUGUUUCUAUAAAAUCUGACGUCUAUAGUUAUGGGAUCGUUCUUAUAGAAACUUUCACAAAGAAAAAGCCAACUGAUAAUUUUUUUGUUGAAGAAGAGACUAUAAGGCAUUGGAUGGAAAGUUCAUUGCCUAAAGGAGCGAUAGAAAUUGCAGAUGUUGAUUUAUUAAGAAGAGAAGAUGAGUACUUUGUUGUUAAAGCAAAUUGUAUUUCAUCUAUCAUGGAGUUGGCUUUGAAUUGUUCAGCUGAGUUACCAGAAGAAAGAAAAACUAUGAAAGAUGUUGUGGUUGAGCUGAAGAAAAUCAAACAAAGGCUGCUAAACAACUUCGAACAUUUUUAACAGAGAUGAGACAAGUAACACAAUGAUCUUAAUUGAGCUAGCUUGCCUCGUCAGUUGUUGUUGAUUAAGGAAAACUAAAGGAGGCCAAUAAGAAGAACGAAACUCCACAUCUUUACUAUCAUGUUCUACAAAACAAAGAGACUUUUUUCUCGAUGAAAUUCGUAUUGGGCUAUCAAUGUUUCAUGGAUUAUGUUGUUUUUCUAAUGUAAGAGGGGGGUUUUGCCAAUAUUACAUGCAAAAUCAAAGUAAUAUUUGCCAAUGCUUAGCUUAAUCAACUCUAAUGCUGCUGUGGAUUUUAUUUGUCUUUACAGUAUUUAGAGAUUAUUUUGUGAAUGUUAAAUUACCUUUGGGCCUUUCAAAGAAAUUCAGCAAGCCUACAAGUCAUUUAAUUACCUUUGGACCUCCCAUGAAA